rnacentral:rRNA from 1 species
UUAAAAAGCUCGUAGUUGGAUUUCUGUGGAGGACGGCCGGUCCGCAUUUUGUGCGUGUAUCUGGUACGGCCUUUGCAUCCUCUUGUGGAACGUUGCGGUGCUUGAUUGCAUUGUGCGGAUUGCAAGACUUUUACUUUGAGGAAAUUAGAGUGUUCACGGCAGGCAUGCGCCCUGAAUAUAGUAGCAUGGAAUAAUAAUAUAGGCUCCUCGCCCUAUUUUGUUGGUUUCUAGAGCGAAGAGAAUGGUUAAUAGGGAUAAUUGGGGGAACUGUUACUAGAGCGUCAGAGGCGGAAUUCUUAGAUUGCUCUAUGACACACUACUGCGAAAGCAUUUUCCAAGGAUGUUUCCAUUGAUCAAGAACGACAGUUAGGGGAUCGAAAAUGACUAGAUACCAUUGUAGUCCUAACCAUAAACUAUGCCAACUAGGGAUUGGAGGGCGUUCUCUUUACGACUCCUUCAGCACCUUAUGAGAAAUCAAAGUUUUUGGGUUCCGGGGGGAGUAUGGUCGCAA